GAUAGUGUGGUCGAGUGGUCUAUGGCGCUGGUUUUAGGCACCAGUCUCUUGCUGAGGCAAGGGUUUAAAUCCUUUCACUGUCA
rnacentral:tRNA from 1 species